AUUGAACGCUGGCGGCAUGCCUUACACAUGCAAGUCGAACGGUAACAGGUCUUCGGAUGCUGACGAGUGGCGAACGGGUGAGUAAUGCAUCGGAACGUGCCCAGUAGUGGGGGAUAGCCCGGCGAAAGCCGGAUUAAUACCGCAUACGACCUGAGGGUGAAAGGGGGGGAUCGCAAGACCUCUCGCUAUUGGAGCGGCCGAUGUCAGAUUAGCUAGUUGGUGGGGUAAAGGCCUACCAAGGCAACGAUCUGUAGUUGGUCUGAGAGGACGACCAGCCACACUGGGACUGAGACACGGCCCAGACUCCUACGGGAGGCAGCAGGGGGGAAUUUUGGACAAUGGGCGCAAGCCUGAUCCAGCAAUGCCGCGUGCAGGAAGAAGGCCUUCGGGUUGUAAACUGCUUUUGUCAGGGAAGAAAUCUUCUGGGCUAAUACCCUGGGAGGAUGACGGUACCUGAAGAAUAAGCUCCGGCUAACUCCGUGCCAGCCGCCGCAGUAAUAC
rnacentral:rRNA from 1 species